CGUGGAAGCUCGCGGCGGCGGCGGCGGCGGCCGAGCGGGGUCAGUUCUGUGUGCUGCUUGCCAAUGUUGGAGCCGUCUGCAGCGUGUCCCGGGCUAGAAGUUUUUGGAGCCGUGAGGUUUAUAGCAGUUUGACCCAUAUUAUCUUAACAUGCUUCAAAUAAAUCAGAGAUAAUUACUGCUAACAUUUUGGGGUGUAUACUUCUAGAUUUUUUUCUAUUCAGGUAUGUUUU